rnacentral:rRNA from 1 species
CAGCAGCCGCGGUAAUACGAAGGGUGCAAGCAUUACUCGGAAUUACUGGGCGUAAGGCGUGCGUAGGUGGUGGUUUAAGUCCGUUGUGAAAGCCCUGGGCUCAACCUGGGAAUUGCAGUGGAUACUGGGUCACUAGAGUGUGGUAGAGGAUAGUGGAAUUUCCGGUGUAGCAGUGAAAUGCGCAGAGAUCGGAAGGAACAUCUGCGGCGAAGGCGACUAUCUGGGCCAACACUGACACUGAGGCACGAAAGCGUGGGGAGCAAACAGGAUUAGAUACCCCAGUAGUCCCUGUCUCUUAUAC